rnacentral:rRNA from 1 species
UACGGAGGAGGCAAGCGUUAUCCGGAAUUAUUGGGCGUAAAGCGUCCGCAGGUGGCACCUCAAGUCUGCUGUCAAAGACCGGGGCUUAACCCCAGAAAGGCAGUGGAAACUGAAGCGCUAGAGUGCAGUAGGGGUAGAGGGAAUUCCCGGUGUAGCGGUGAAAUGCGUAGAGAUCGGGAAGAACAUCGGUGGCGAAAGCGCUCUGCUGGACUGCAACUGACACUGAGGGACGAAAGCUAGGGGAGCGAAUGGG